CACGUCGAACGAACUCUUCGGAGUUAGUGGCGGACGGGUGAGUAACACGUGGGAACGUGCCUUUUGGUUCGGAAUAACUCAGGGAAACUUGUGCUAAUACCGAAUGUGCCCUUCGGGGGAAAGAUUUAUCGCCAUUAGAGCGGCCCGCGUCUGAUUAGCUAGUUGGUGAGGUAACGGCUCACCAAGGCGACGAUCAGUAGCUGGUCUGAGAGGAUGAUCAGCCACACUGGGACUGAGACACGGCCCAGACUCCUACGGGAGGCAGCAGUGGGGAAUCUUGCGCAAUGGGCGAAAGCCUGACGCAGCCAUGCCGCGUGAAUGAUGAAGGUCUUAGGAUUGUAAAAUUCUUUCACCGGGGACGAUAAUGACGGUACCCGGAGAAGAAGCCCCGGCUAACUUCGUGCCAGCAGCCGCGGUAAUACGAAGGGGGCUAGCGUUGCUCGGAAUUACUGGGCGUAAAGGGCGCGUAGGCGGAUCGUUAAGUCAGGGGUGAAAUCCCGGGGCUCAACCUCGGAAUUGCCCUUGAUACUGGCGAUCUUGAGUAUGAGAGAGGUAUGUGGAACUCCGAGUGUAGC
rnacentral:rRNA from 1 species